GACGAACGCUGGCGGCGUGCUUAACACAUGCAAGUCGAACGGAAAGGCCCUGCUUUUGUGGGGUGCUCGAGUGGCGAACGGGUGAGUAACACGUGAGUAACCUGCCCUUGACUUUGGGAUAACUUCAGGAAACUGGGGCUACUACCGGAUAGGAGCUCCUGCUGCAUGGUGGGGGUUGGAAAGUUUCGGCGGUUGGGGAUGGACUCGCGGCUUAUCAGCUUGUUGGUGGGGUAGUGGCUUACCAAGGCUUUGACGGGUAGCCGGCCUGAGAGGGUGACCGGCCACAUUGGGACUGAGAUACGGACCAGACUCCUACGGGAGGCAGCAGUGGGGAAUAUUGCACAAUGGGCGGAAGCCGGAUGCAGCAACGCCGCGUGCGGGAUGACGGCCUUCGGGUUGUAAACCGCUUUCGCCUGUGACGAAGCGUGAGUGACGGUAAUGGGUAAAGAAGCACCGGCUAACUACGU
rnacentral:rRNA from 1 species